GAGUUUUGAUUCUGGCUCAGAUUGAACGCUGGCGGCAGGCCUAACACAUGCUAGUCGAGCGGAUGAAGGGAGCUUGCUCCUGGAUUCAGCGGCGGACGGGUGAGUAAUGCCUAGGAAUCUGCCUGGUAGUGGGGGAUAACGUCCGGAAACGGGCGCUAAUACCGCAUACGUCGUGAGGGAGAAAGUGGGGGAUCUUCGGACCUCACGCUAUCAGAUGAGCCUAGGUCGGAUUAGCUAGUUGGUGGGGUAAAGGCCUACCAAGGCGACGAUCCGUAACUGGUCUGAGAGGAUGAUCAGUCACACUGGAACUGAGACACGGUCCAGACUCCUACGGGAGGCAGCAGUGGGGAAUAUUGGACAAUGGGCGAAAGCCUGAUCCAGCCAUGCCGCGUGUGUGAAGAAGGUCUUCGGAUUGUAAAGCACUUUAAGUUGGGAGGAAGGGCAGUAAGUUAAUACCUUGCUGUUUUGACGUUACCAACAGAAUAAGCACCGGCUAACUUCGUGCCAGCAGCCGCGGUAAUACGAAGGGUGCAAGCGUUAAUCGGAAUUACUGGGCGUAAAGCGCGCGUAGGUGGUUCAGCAAGUUGGAUGUGAAAUCCCCGGGCUCAACCUGGGAACUGCAUCCAAAACUACUGAGCUAGAGUACGGUAGAGGGUGGUGGAAUUUCCUGUGUAGCGGUGAAAUGCGUAGAUAUAGGAAGGAACACCAGUGGCGAAGGCGACCACCUGGACUGAUACUGACACUGAGGUGCGAAAGCGUGGGGAGCAAACAGGAUUAGAUACCCUGGUAGUCCACGCCGUAAACGAUGUCGACUAGCCGUUGGGAUCCUUGAGAUCUUAGUGGCGCAGCUAACGCGAUAAGUCGACCGCCUGGGAGNCGCCNAANNG
rnacentral:rRNA from 1 species